GGUGCAGCAGGCGCGAAAACUUUGCAAUACACGAAAGUGUGACAGGGUCAUCCCGAGUGCCGACCGCUGAGGUUGGCUUUUACCCAGUCUAGAAAGCUGGGGGAAUAAGGAGAGGGCAAGUCUGGUGUCAGCCGCCGCGGUAAUACCAGCUCUCCGAGUGGUGUGGACGUUUAUUGGGCCUAAAGCAUCCGUAGCUGGCUGAACAAGUCCCCUGUUAAACCCACCGAUUUAAUCGUUGGUCUGCGGGGGAUACUGCUCGGCUAGGGGACGAGAGAGGCAGACGGUAUUCCCGGGGUAGGGGUGAAAUCCUAUAAUCCCGAGAAGACCACCAGUGGCGAAGGCUGUCUGCCAGAACGCGCCCGACGGUGAGGGAUGAAAGCUGGGGGAGCGAACCGGAUUAGAUACCCGGGUAGUCCCAGCUGUAAACGAUGCAGACUAGGUGUUUGGACGGCCACGUGCCGUUCUAGUGCCGCAGGGAAGCUGUUAAGUCUGCCGCCUGGGGAGUACGAUCGCAAGAUUGAAACUUAAAGGAAUUGGCGGGGGAGCAC
rnacentral:rRNA from 1 species